rnacentral:rRNA from 1 species
GCAAGUCGAGGGGUAACAUUGGUACUUGUACCAGAUGACGACCGGCGCACGGGUGCGUAACGCGUAUACAAUUUGCCUUAUACAGGAGGAUAGCCUUUAGAAAUGAAGAUUAAUACUCCAUGGUAUUAAGAUAUGGCAUCAUAUUUUAAUUAAAGAUUUAUCGGUAUAAGAUGAGUAUGCGUCCUAUUAGCUAGAUGGUAAGGUAAUGGCUUACCAUGGCAACGAUAGGUAGGGGCCCUGAGAGGAUAGUC